rnacentral:rRNA from 1 species
AUGUCAGAGCUGCAGAGAUCUUCCCAAACAUUUAGGGGGUCUGGUUCAUCUGGUCUGAUCUGGGAGGAGAGGUUUAUGCCUAAAGACCAGAACCAGAGGAAUCAAGGGGCAGCUGGGGAGGCAGAGGUCAACAGCUUAGAACUCAAGGAGCUAAGGCACUCCCGUAGCAACGGGUCCAGGGGAGGUGUGCAGCGUAGGUGCAGUGACGGUGCAGAGCGCGGUGGCAUGCCCAGCGACAUCAACCAGGCCUUUCGUACUCGGCAUGUUCCGCCAGCUCUUGAUCCACCUUCACCCAAGUUUGCUCUGCAUGUUCUGUGGAAUUUUUAG